AGCAGACAGAGCAGAUGUAGAUUCUACCCCUUGUUCCUGCCUUUCUCUCUUGCAAGUUAAAGGUUUCUAUCAGGAGCCACAGUAACGGUGGUGGUCAUGGUUCUGUGAGGUACACGUACACAGUUCCCAAAAUGCCUAGAGGUUUAUGUAGAUGGUCACUGGAAACCUUAUAUAUGUCUGCAGAUACUAAUCUCCAAUGCCGUGCUACACUAUGAUUCCCUGAGCUGGAAUCCUUCAACUCAGUGUGGCUAAAGUUGCCAAAACUGAGAUCGCUGCUUCCAGAAUAAGAUGGUGUCGCUCCAAGCCAUCAAUCCGACCCACUCAAGAUCCAGGGGAAACUAGAAUCUGAAGGAUGGAAAACUGUAAUUGGGAGAAACAAUGAACAUGAAUUAGACUUUGAGAGAUGGUGGAAGAUAGAAGGGUCUGGCAUGCCACGGUCCAUGGGGUCAUGAAGAAGAGUUGGACAUGACUGAAUGACUGAAACACCACCACCACCACCACCACCACCACCACCUAAUGUUAUUCUGUACUGAAAAUCUAACUCAGAGAUUAUAGAGUUUGUUAUUGUCUAAUAUAAAUCAAAUGCAAUGUUGGGGGAGGGAGAAGCAAUUCGUAGUGGCAAUUUUAAAGGGAUAGCUGAAAAAAUAUAUUGAUAAGAAUUUAUCCUAUAGAAUCAGAGAGAAGGUGUGAUCCACAGAUUUUAGUAAGUAUCUAUGAAGAAGAAAGAGAAAAAGGUGGAAACAUACUUCUUUCUUGUGAGAACUAUCAAAUUUUCUUUUACAAGAAAAUCCUACAAAGACAAAUUCAUAAAAAGAAUACUAUAAAGAGCAUGAAAGAAGCUGAGAGGAAAGACUAAUCUUGUGAAGAAAUAUUAAUAAGAUUCUUAAAAAGAUUUAAUCAGUAUUGGGAGAGAACCAGACAGUUUCCAGAUAGGAAGGAGGAGUUAAAUACUGUUAUACUGAGUUUAAGGUCACAUACAUUGUAACAUUAAUCAUAGCCAAAAUGUUAUAAAUAAGUUAUAUAUAUAUAUAUUAGGUUUAUUAUUGUUUUUAUUUGUUAAUAUAGCUAAUCAAUAAUUUUAAUAUUUAAUUAUAGAUGUUAGAAUAAUUAUUCAUGGAGAAGGGGAUUUCUCUAGUUAUUAGAUCAGGAAUGGAAACUUGUGCUAUUAAUUAAGGUAAUGAUAGCAAAUUUACUAAUAAAAAAUAAAGUAUUUGAUCAUAAUCCUACAUUACUAUAGAGUUUUGAAGGAUACUCUAUUGCAGUAAAGACAGAUGUGAGUAGGUUAUGGAGGGUGGGUGGGAAAGAAGACUUCAGAGUUGUUUUAGACCCAGAAUUGUCAAGUACUACUGUUGAUCAUCUGAAUUACAAGGCCAAAGGAAAGGAAAGCUAUCUUGGCACGGGGUGGGUCUCCGUUUCCAGACUAGUGCAAGAUGAGAAAAGAACCUAAGACAAAUGAUCCACAGCAGAACUUGGCCCCUGUACUUUGCCAAAAUGAGAGAGGGCUCAUUAUAUUCUUUCACUUAAUUCAACUUGUUCUAACCAAUGAGUCAGAAAAAUCUCAAUAUUUAAAAAGAAAAAAAAAACCCAGAGAUACUUCCCAAAUGGGGAUUGUUCAUCUGUUCAUUUGUUUUUUUAGGGGGAAGGGCAAGUGGAGACUGGAUGAUCUAUAAGUAAGCGUGGGUAGAAUCCAGGCAAUUGCUAUACAUGUAUCUUCAUUCCAAUUUGACUGAGAUUACCUCUUCUUUAUAGUAGCUGGGGCAUAAUUUUGCAUGAUCUUGACUAUAGUUCCUUAGUAUUUGAGUUCUUUCUUUCCAGUUUCUUGUAUUUUUCUUUGAUUAGAAGCUUUGCAUUUGGGCUAUGAUAGCCCUGGGGGUUUUCCUUUUUUUUCUUUUUUUUUAAGUAAUAAAUAUUUUAAUUUAUAG